GGAGAGGGGAAAGGCCAUAGCUCAGUGGUGGGGCACCCGCUUUGCAUGCAGAAGGUCCCAGGUUUGAAUCCUGGCUUCUCCA